GAUGAACGCUGGCGGCGUGCCUAACACAUGCAAGUCGAACGGAAGGACCUGUAGCGGGGGCUACUCGCGUUGGCGACGGGCGGGUGAGUCAUGAGUAAAUUGCCCUUGACUUUGGGAUGGCUUCAGUCGACUGGGGCUAAUACCGAAUAGGGGAUACUGCGGCAUGGUGGGGGCAGGAGAGUUUCGGCGGUUGGGGGUGGACUCGCGGCGUAUCAGCUUGUUGGUGGUGUAGCGGCUUACCAAGGCGUUGCCGGGUAGCCGGGCUGAGAGGGGGACCGGCCACACUGGGACUGAGACACGGUCCAGGCUCCGACGGGCGGCAGCGGUGGGGAAUGUUGGCAGAUGGGCGGAAGCUUGACCAAGCAAUGCCGCGUUGGUGAAGAAGGGCUGCGGGUGGUAAAACGCUUUUAUGGGGGAAGAACACAUUCGCUCAUGACGAAGCUCUGUGUGACGGUACCGAAUCAAGAAGCACCGGCUAACUACGUG
rnacentral:rRNA from 1 species